ACCAACGUUAAAAAAAAACAAUGAAAAAGUGCCAUCUUAAAGAUCUGCUAUUCAUUAAAAUUUUAAAUUUGGUGCUAAGUGACCCCAUAACUUCGGAGCAAGCUGGGUGUGUCGAAGGACCAGUCUUACCUGGACAGUGGCAGCCUAAAUUGAAUAUAAGAGUCCUUCCAUCGCAGUCCGUACCUAGCUUUUCUCAACUAAACAUUGUUUGUGAUGCAAGCGCGGCAAGAAAGAUUAAAUUGCUGCUUAAAAUUACCAAAACCACCUCUACCCCUAACAAGAAUUCUCAUUAAUAUUGCAGUCUACCUGGUUAAAGAAUGUUUUUCUCCCACAAAUGUAAACCAGUGCACAUAUAAUCUGACAGCAUUCUUUCAAGGCAUACCACCAAGAAUCAGUUGUACUGCUUUUGAUGCUACUGGAUAUUGCAGAUUUCAAAUAGUUAAUGUCAGCCUUGUAGAAAAUAAGCUUGUUAGUACAAUAUGUAAAUAUUAAAAUUUUCAUAAAAUUUGCAAUUAAGGGUGCAAAUCUUUUUUGAAAAGUGCAGAGAGUGUCGAUUAGCUAUACAGUUCAUAGUUUGUUGAUAGUUUAACUAUCAUACUGCAGUUAUGUGCAUCUUGGUUGAGAAUAAAUCAUUUAAUCGCCGAGAGAUUAAAUCAAUAUUUAAGUAAAAA